rnacentral:rRNA from 1 species
UGGCGGCGCGCCUAACACAUGCAAGUCGAACGGCACCCAUCUUCGGAUGGAAGCGAGUGGCGAACGGCUGAGUAACACGUGGAGAACCUGCCCCCUCCCCCGGGAUAGCCGCCCGAAAGGACGGGUAAUACCGGAUACCCCGGGGUGCCGCAUGGCACCCCGGCUAAAGCCCCGACGGGAGGGGAUGGCUCCGCGGCCCAUCAGGUAGACGGCGGGGUGACGGCCCACCGUGCCGACAACGGGUAGCCGGGUUGAGAGACCGACCGGCCAGAUUGGGACUGAGACACGGCCCAGACUCCUACGGGAGGCAGCAGUGGGGAAUCUUGCGCAAUGGGGGGAACCCUGACGCAGCGACGCCGCGUGCGGGACGGAGGCCUUCGGGUCGUAAACCGCUUUCAGCAGGGAAGAGUCAAGACUGUACCUGCAGAAGAAGCCCCGGCUAACUACGUGCCAGCAGCCGCGGUAAUACGUAGGGGGCGAGCGUUAUCCGGAUUCAUUGGGCGUAAAGCGCGCGUAGGCGGCCCGGCAGGCCGGGGGUCGAAGCGGGGGGCUCAACCCCCCGAAGCCCCCGGAACCUCCGCGGCUUGGGUCCGGUAGGGGAGGGUGGAACACCCGGUGUAGCGGUGGAAUGCGCAGAUAUCGGGUGGAACACCGGUGGCGAAGGCGGCCCUCUGGGCCGAGACCGACGCUGAGGCGCGGAAGCUGGGGGAGCGAACAGGAUUAGAUACCCUGGUAGUCCCAGCCGUAAACGAUGGACGCUAGGUGUGGGGGGACGAUCCCCCCGUGCCGCAGCCAACGCAUUAAGCGUCCCGCCUGGGGAGUACGGCCGCAAGGCUAAAACUCAAAGGAAUUGACGG